rnacentral:misc_RNA from 1 species
AACGCAUCUUGCGCCCUUUGGUAUUCCGAAGGGCAUGCCUGUUUGAGUGUCAUGAAAACCUCAAUCCCUCCGGUUUUGAUUAACCGGUUGGACUUGGAUUUGGGUGCUGCCGCGGCUCGCGCCGUCGGCUCGCCUUAAAAGUGUUAGUGGGACGGUGAACACCCGUCAGCCUGGCGUAAUAAGUUUCGCUGGGCCUCUGGGGUCGUUCGACGGCUUGCUCAUAACAAACCUUUUAUUUCUAUGACUCUGACCUCAAAUCAGGUAGGGCUACCCGCUGAACUUAA